UACGAAGGGGGCUAGCGUUGCUCGGAAUCACUGGGCGUAAAGGGCGCGUAGGCGGCCGAUUAAGUCGGGGGUGAAAGCCUGUGGCUCAACCACAGAAUUGCCUUCGAUACUGGUUGGCUUGAGACCGGAAGAGGACAGCGGAACUGCGAGUGUAGAGGUGAAAUUCGUAGAUAUUCGCAAGAACACCAGUGGCGAAGGCGGCUGUCUGGUCCGGUUCUGACGCUGAGGCGCGAAAGCGUGGGGAGCAAACGGG
rnacentral:rRNA from 1 species